rnacentral:rRNA from 1 species
AUUGAACGCUGGCGGCAGGCCUAACACAUGCAAGUCGAACGGUAACAGGAAACAGCUUGCUGUUUCGCUGACGAGUGGCGGACGGGUGAGUAAUGUCUGGGAAACUGCCUGAUGGAGGGGGAUAACUACUGGAAACGGUAGCUAAUACCGCAUAACGUCGCAAGACCAAAGAGGGGGACCCUCGGGCCUCUUGCCAUCGGAUGUGCCCAGAUGGGAUUAGCUUGUUGGUGGGGUAACGGGCUCACCAAGGCGACGAUCCCUAGCUGGUCUGAGAGGAUGACCAGCCACACUGGAACUGAGACACGGUCCAGACUCCUACGGGAGGCAGCAGUGGGGAAGUAUUG